GACAGAGGGUGCUAGCGUUGUUCGGAAUUACUGGGCGUAAAGGGCGCGUAGGCGGUCUGUUAAGUUCGGUGUGAAAUCCCCUGGCUCAACUGGGGAACUGCGCUGGAAACUGGCAGACUCGAGUACCGGAGAGGAGAGUGGAACUCGUAGUGUAGCAGUGAAAUGCGUAGAUAUUACGAAGAACACCAAUGGCGAAGGCAGCUUGCUGGGCCGACCCUGACGCUGAGGUACGAAAGCGUGGGGAGCGAACAGG
rnacentral:rRNA from 1 species